rnacentral:rRNA from 1 species
CGAACAGGAUUAGAUACCCUGGUAGUCCACGCCGUAAACGAUGACAACUAGCUGUUGGGAGACAAGAUCUCUCAGUGGCGCAGCUAACGCUUUAAGUUGUCCGCCUGGGGAGUACGGCCGCAAGGUUAAAACUCAAAUGAAUUGACGGGGACCCGCACAAGCGGUGGAGCAUGUGGUUUAAUUCGAUGCAACGCGAAAAACCUUACCUACUCUUGACAUACUUGGAAGCUCUUGUAAUGAGAGUGUGCUUUUAGAGCCAAGAUACAGGUGCUGCAUGGCUGUCGUCAGCUCGUGUCGUGAGAUGUUGGGUUAAGUCCCAUAACGAGCGCAACCCUUACCCUUAUUUGCCAGCGGUUCGGCCGGGAACUAUAAGGGGACUGCCGGUGACAAACCGGAGGAAGGUGAGGACGACGUCAAGUCAUCAUGGCCCUUACGAGUAGGGCUACACACGUGCUACAAUGGGGAAUACAGACGGACGCUAAAGCGUGAGCUGGUGCUAAUCCUAAAAAAUUUCUCGUAGUCCGGAUUGCAGUCUGCAACUCGACUGCAUGAAGUCGGAAUCGCUAGUAAUCGCGAAUCAGCAUGUCGCGGUGAAUACGUUCUCGGGUCUUGUACACACCGCCCGUCACACCAUGGAAGUGUGUUGCACCAGAAGUAGGUAGUCUAACCUUCGGGAAGGCGCUUACCACGGUGUGAUCCAUGACUGGGGUGAAGUCGUAACAAGGUAACCGUA